CCUACGGGAGGCAGCAGUGAGGAAUAUUGGUCAAUGGCCGCGAGCCUGAACCAGCCAAGUAGCGUGAAGGAUGACUGACCUACGGUUUGUAAACUUCUUUUAUAGAGGAAUAAAGUUAUGCACGUGUGCAUUUUUGUAUGUACUUUAUGAAUAAGCAUCGGCUAACUCCGUGCCAGCAGCCGCGGUAAUACGGAGGAUCCGAGCGUUAUCCGGAUUUAUUGGGUUUAAAGGGAGCGUAGAUGGGUUGUUAAGUCAGUUGUGAAAGUUUGCGGCUCAACCGUAAAAUUGCCAUUGAUACUGGCAGUCUUGAGUAUAUUUGAGGUAGGCGGAAUGCGUGGUGUAGCGGUGAAAUGCAUAGAUAUCACGAAGAACUCCGAUUGCGAAGGCAGCUUACUAAACCGUCACUGACACUGAUGCACGAAAGUGUGGGGAUCAAACAGGAUUAGAUACCCUGGUAGUC
rnacentral:rRNA from 1 species